AUUGAACGCUGGCGGCAGGCCUAACACAUGCAAGUCGAGCGAGCGGAGGACGGGUGAGUAAUGUAUGGGGACUGCCCGAUAGAGGGGGAUAACUACUGGAACCGGUGGCUACUACCGCAUACUAUCGGAUAACCCAUAUGGGAUUAGCUAGUAGGUGUGGAAAAGGCUCACCUAGGCGACGAUCUCUAGCUGGUCUGAGAGGGUGAUCAGCCACACUGGGACUGAGACACGGCCCAGACUCCGACGGAGGCAGCAGUGGGGAAUAUUGGACAAUGGGCGAAAGCCUGAUACAGCCAUGCCGCGUGUAUGAAGAAGGCCUUAGGGUUGUAAAGUACUGUCAGCGGGGAGGCGUUACCCGAAGAAGAAGCACCGGCUAACUCCGUGCCAGCAGCCGCGGUAAUUC
rnacentral:rRNA from 1 species